CGUUAGCUAACUUGUGUUAGCUAAAUGUUUUAAAUACAUUUAAAUUUGACUUUGUUGACUGGAUUUGCCCUCCUAUUUUUGCUGUACACUAGCUAUUUAUCUCUGAAAUUUCAGAUCUGCAAGCUCAUAAAUAUUGUGUCUAUUGAUGUUAUACUUAGCGUUAAUGAUCUAAAAUGUAUUUUUUUCAUUAACCGGAUGGAGAAAAACAAAGUCCUGGCAAAAAAGAGGCUACGGGUUCCCACUCAGAAAAUUGAAGGACCUGAGCUCCCCUCCCCCAAAUGAGCAAUCUGAAAUUCAUUUCCAUCGAUGAAUCCAUCACCUGACGGGGGACAUGCAACAGGCCGCAACACAGCUGGACCACCACCCUAUGGAUACAGGCCGGGUCAGAGAGCUUCAGACUCUCUGCGACUUAAUUGGAGAGAGAUCUGGUGGCAGCCUAGCUUCACCAUCAAGCCAGCAGGAGCUGUUUCCUGGGAGCGGCCAAUUCAUCUCAUCAUUCCGCCUGGCUGCCAUGAAUCACGCAUCAAAACCAAAUUGCAUGCGUCUGUUUCAUGCACUUUUUGAUAAUUUCUUCACUGUUGAGGAGUGUCAAAAUGCAGUGCCCUUUGGUCACCCUGGAAACAACCCCUCAGGAAAGGAAGGAAAGCCGGUCCUUGACUGUAAAAAAGUUGACUGAAUCCUAAGUACGUUUUUUUUAAGGAUAACACUUUUUUUCAUAUUCAUGAUUGGCCAAAAAAUCGUACUUGCUGAUUUGCAAUUCUCUGAACUGAAAUGAACGUCUCACGGUGUUAUUUCCUUUUAACCUGAAGUGCAGUUGUAUAUGGUCUAUGUGGUAAUUUUUUUGUCAAAUUACUCAUGACUGAUUUUAAUGCUCUUGUCUUACAGAUGUGCAACUCUACCGGACUGGGAACUAAUUGAGGAGGCCAAGCUAUGUGGACCGCGAUCUCUCUCACUUUUGUGUGUGUGUGUGUGUGUGUGUGUGUCACACAAAUGCAGUUUUCAAUAUUGAGUAUUGUUUUUAGUUGUUUCUAAUUAAUAAAGAUAAUUAAUCUUUAAAUUGCAUUCUCAAUUUGUUCUUGUAUUUCUCAAAUAUACCUCAGAUAUCAUUCUCAUAUAUAGCUUCAGUAAGACAUUAAAGAGAAAUAAUCAAGAGAUGGAAGAGACGUUGGACACACAAUAAUAAGAUCUCUUUUAAGGCUCAUAAUUCUCAGAUUUGUCUCAUGUUAUUCUCCUUCAAAUGGCCGAGACACAAUUGAGAUCAGGGGUAUACAAUUAUGAGAUCUCUACUGUCUAUCCCACUUCUCAAGUAUUGCUCAAAUGGUAUUCUCAAUUUAACCUCCUUUGUCUUACUCAUGUCUUGUCUCUUUUUAGCUUAUGUCUUGCUCCUAAGGGACCCUUAGGAGAAGUAACUCAGAAACAAAUGAUCACAGAAUGAUAUGAACAUGAGAUGCUCAAAUUGAGCUCGCGAGAUGAGAUUGAACAACAGAUGAGCAACACAUUUUUCCUAUGGG